AGCGCAACCCUUGCUAUUAGUUGCUAACAGGUAGAGCUGAGCACUCUAAUGGGACUGCCGGUGACAAGCCGGAGGAAGGUGGGGAUGACGUCAAAUCAUCAUGCCCUUUAUGACCUGGGCUACACACGUGCUACAAUGGAUGGUACAGAGAGCAGCGAGGCAGCGAUGUGGAGCGAAUCUCAAAAAGCCAUUCUCAGUUCGGAUUGGAGUCUGCAACUCGACUCCAUGAAGUCGGAAUCGCUAGUAAUCGCGAAUCAGCAUGUCGCGGUGAAUGCGUUCCCGGGCCUU
rnacentral:rRNA from 1 species